rnacentral:rRNA from 1 species
GACGAGGGGUCCAAGCGUUGUUCGGAAUCAUUGGGCGUAAAGCGGGUGUAGGUGGCUCUGUAAGUCAGGAGUGAAAGCCCCGAGCUUAACUCGGGUAAGUGCUUUUGAUACUGCAGAGCUUGAAUGUGGGAGAGGAUCGUGGAAUUCCAGGUGUAGUGGUGAAAUACGUAGAUAUCUGGAGGAACACCGGUGGCGAAGGCGGCGAUCGUGGCCCCAACAGUUGACCACUGAGACCCGAAAGCGUGGGGACUCAAAACAGGAGUUAGGAAACCCAAGCGAUGUGACCCAGACCAA